rnacentral:rRNA from 1 species
GUAGGUGGCAAGCGUUGUCCGGAUUUAUUGGGGCGUAAAGCGAGUGCAGGCGGUCUUUUUAAGUCUGAUGUGAAAGCCUUCGGCUUAACCGAAGAAGGGCAUCGGAAACUGGGAGACUUGAGUGCAGAAGAGGAGAGUGGAACUCCAUGUGUAGCGGUGAAAUGCGUAGAUAUAUGGAAGAACACCAGUGGCGAAGGCGGCUGUCUGGUCUGUAACUGACGCUGAGGCUCGAAAGU